AUGCUAUUAGCUAUUCUGUUGAUUCUUCUCCAAACAGGAACCACCGAUUUACAAAUUUUAUUAACCACUGAAUUUAGUGAGCGGCGCCAAAUCCUUCUAUGGAUUGCUUUUUUCGCCUCUUUUGCCGUCAAAGUGCCUAUGGUACCAGUUCAUAUUUGGUUACCCGAAGCCCAUGUAGAGGCACCUACGGCUGGAUCCGUCAUCUUGGCUGGAAUUCUUUUAAAAUUGGGAACCUACGGGUUUUUAAGAUUUUCCAUACCCAUGUUUCCCGAGGCGACACUUUGUUUCACUCCUUUCAUUUAUACUCUAAGCGCGAUUGCUAUAAUAUAUACUUCCUUGACCACUUUAAGACAGCUCGAUCUUAAGAAGAUCAUUGCCUACUCCUCAGUAGCCCAUAUGAAUUUGGUGACUAUUGGUAUGUUUAGUCGGGCGGCGGCCGUUAGGUCACCUAUUUUGAGUUAUGGACACACAAGCAAGGCCAAAACAUGUGUGCCGGGCGUGCGACCCAUCAACCUACUAGCAAUAGGGGAGAAAACUUAG
rnacentral:rRNA from 1 species